UUUCAAGGAUCUUUCCAAGGAUCCUCCGGUGUCGUGGAAGUGAUCGCGGACGGCGCUCGCGUCCUGAUGGAACGAAACGGGCAUCGCGAAAUACGUCGCUGAAUUGCGUUUCGGGUAUUACGUCACAAGCGUCGAGUCGUGUGUAAAGGAGGCAUUUCGACGGGUAAAGGACGGAAAGGAGGCGUAUCGAAGAUGCGUGGCGAAAAGUGCGUAUCGAAAGCACGAAAGGUGAGAGAGGUAGCGUGAGGAAAAGUACUUGGAGGUGCCUCUAACGGAGUAACGACUUCGCAAAAAUUCCAUGGUACCUACGCGACGCGCGGGGAGUAAUGGCGGGUGGGUGGGGAAGGGGGAAAGCAACGUCUUUCUCGUCCGAUUACCGAGGAGCUUUCGAUGCCGUGGAAGUGGUCGCGGAUGGCGCUCGCGUCCUGGCGUUUAAACAAAACGAGCAUCGUGGAAUGCCGCAUUUGGGUAAUUGCGUCGCGUGUGGAGGGAGACGUGUUUCGUUCGGGUAGGUAAAGGACGGAAAGAAUAGACGGCCUGUCGAAGAUGCGUGGCGAAAAGUGUACGUAUGAAAAGCACAAGGUGGCGUGAUAAGUAUGUGGAAGUGUCUCUAACGGAGUAACGACUUCGCGAAAAUUCCCGAGGUAUCGUGACACGUGGCGCGAAUCGUAACGACGGACGAGCGGAGCAACGUCUUUUCCCGGUCGAUUUUCGAGGAUCUUUCGAUACCGUGGAAGUGGUCGCGUCCUGGCGAAACGAAACGAGCGUGCUACGAACGACGAUCGCGUCCCAGUGAAAUGAAACGACGUCGCGAAAUACCGCGUUUUAGCGGCAAGUGUGUGUGUGUGUGUGAGAGAUAAAUGUAAAAUAUCGAUACGUAGAAAAGAAAGAACGCAUGGCGAAAAGUGCAUAAUCGAAAGCACGAAGUGAGAAAAGUGUGAUAAAAAGUGCUUGGAAGUGCCAUAAUAGAUUACUCAAGAAAAUGUGAGCAGUAAUGGAAGCGACCGAGGAGAGCAACGACGUGGUCAUCGAAAUAUUAACAUUGCGGGAUCUGAGAGGAGAAGGAGGCCUGGGAGAGACAUCUGGCCCCAGCGGAGCAACCUUGGGUAAUCACCGUAGCAUCGUAGCUGUAUAACUCCGCUCGUUGCGCAUCGGGUCGGUGAGUCAAAAAUCAAAUUUCUUAUUAUACUUGUAUUUCAUUACUUAGUAAAUAUCCUGCGCAAGAUCAAAAGUAGGGACAAUGAAAGAAAGAGUUUGGUAAUA
rnacentral:lncRNA from 13 species